GCAAAGUCCCCUUCGGCGCGCGCGCGGCGCUCGGCGGCGGUCGCGGAGGGAGGCGGGCUGCGAAGCGGGGGCGCGGCUCUGGAGCCUUAGAGGGCCUGAGGGCCGCGGUGCUGUGGCACUGAGGAGCCCCGGUGCGGCGACGGCUGCGCCCGCAGCCCCCGAGCGAAUUGAGGACGAGGCCGGCAGGAGACGGCACGGCGCGGCCCCUUCCAGCGGCCACGCCCGGAGCAAGGCAGAAGAGAAUGAAAGAAGUAGAUAAUCUUGAAAGUAUAAAAGAAGAAUGGGUUUGUGAAACAGGAUCUGACCGCCAACCCGUUAGUGAUAAUCGACAAACAACUUGUGAAUAUUUUGUUGACAGCCUUUUUGAGGAAGCUCAGAAGGUUGGUGCCAAAUGCUUGUCUGCCGCUGAACAGAAGAAAGAGGUAGAUGUAAGUAUAAAAUUAUGGAAAAAUGGAUUCACAGUCAAUGAUGAUUUCCGAAGUUAUUCAGAUGGUGCAAGUCAGCAGUUUCUGAACGCCAUCAAAAAAGGGGAAUUGCCGUUAGAAUUAGAGGGAACUUUCGAUAAAGAGGAGGUGGAUGUUAAAGUUGAAGAUAAGAAACAUGAAGUAUGUGUGUCAACGAAGCCUGUGUUCCAGCCCUUCUCAGGGCAGGGUCACAGACUGGGCAGUGCCACACCAAAAAUUAUUUCUAAAGCAAAAAGUAUUGAAGUUGAGAAGAAAAAUAAUUUGUCUCUUGUCCCACUAAACAACCUGGAACCCAUCACUAAUAUACAGAUCUGGUUAGCCAGUGGGAAAAGGAUUGUUCAGAAAUUUAACAUGUCUCAUAGGAUACGCCACAUCAAGGACUUCAUCGAAAAGUACCAAGGAUCUCAGAGAAGCCCUCCCUUUUCCCUGGCGACAGCACUUCCUAGCCUCAGGUUGCUAGACGAGACACUUACCCUGGAAGAAGCAGACUUACAGAAUGCUGUAAUCAUUCAGAGACUCCAGAAAACCACGGAACCUUUUAGAGAACUUUCAUAACAUUGAUUUUUGAAACACUAAGUGGAAAGUUUGCAGAGAAAUCGUGGUUCUAAGUGGACCUGCAAACCAGAAUGGGGGAGAGUCGGGUUCGCUGGACUUCUGGUCUGCAUCCUAUCCACCUCCCUCCGGAGGAGAGGAGUUUUAAAAAAGCCUCUUUCAUGGAUUUUCCAGUUUAUAAUCAAUUACUUAACCAGAAGACACAUUGGAGGCUCUCCUGUGUGUCCAUGGAGAAUACAUCCCAGCGAGAAGCUCCUCUAGGGAAAGACUUGCCACCAGCAAUAACCUUCAUUUUUGUAACUGUAAAAACAUUCAUUGAUGUGAAUAAUAUCCUCAGAGGUUUUCUAAAAUGAGAAUCACCUGAUGAAGAUUUUUACCUGAAAGUUUCCAAUUGUAAAGCUGUUAAAUGUGUAAAUAUUCAAAACAUGUUGAUUUUAGAAAGUAUAAACUGAAUUUAUCACAGGAAGGCAAAAUGGAAAAUAAACAUCUUAGGUGUGGAAUAUAAUUUGAACUAAGUAGUUCAAAACCAUUUUCAGUUUCUUGAAAAUCAUUGUUAGGGCCAGUAUAUAGACAUACACUUCUAAUUUUGCAGAUUUUAAUGUAUUGGUUAAAUUACUAUGCAUUAUCAAGGUUACAAAAGUGAUCUUAUUUAUUUUAUGUACUUCUCUCAUUCAGAAUACUUUUUAUUACAUUUCAUUGUGCUGAAAAUACAGUAUUUAUGCAUCUAAUUUAGUGCCUUAAAAUAGUUUGAAAGCAAUCUUGCUAAUGGUUAAAGAACUGUUGUCUUAAGGAUGAAAUACUGUUUAUUAAAGGAUCUGUGAAGUAAUUUAUACUUGUUUGGUAUAAAAUAGUUACAUAUAAGUGCAUUUGUCAUUUUUAUUUGGCAAACUCAUUCAGUUUGAGAUUUCACAAAUGUUUAUUAGGUGCCUUCUGUUUGCCAGGUACUUUAACCAAUGUUACUUUCACUUAAUACUCAGAAAUGUAAAAAUGUGAUAUUUUUAAUACUAACUCAAUGGUUGUGUUUAUUUUUUAAACCACCCUUUGUGACCUGAGUUGAACUAGCAUAAAGACUCCGUGGUAGGAUUUACUUAUUUGUUCUUUCUCGAAGUACAAACCAUUUCAUUAAAAAAUUGUUCAUCACAGUAAAUAUUCAAAUAGCAGUGGUUUAUUUGGUAGACUAAUAUUUGACUCUUUGUUGUUUGCUUUAAAUGUAUUUUUGCACAGAUAAUUCAUAUACAUUGUAGAAAAUUAUAAACUGCAGGUAUGUUUAAAUGAUCUUUAAAUCACCUAUUAUUUCACCACUCAAGAUAACCACUGAUAACAUUCUGAUGUGCAUCCUUUCGGAU